rnacentral:lncRNA from 1 species
AAGAGUCAGGCUGACACUCCUUGGCUACGUAACACUAAGUACAAGGUAAAAGCCUGCACCCUGGAAGAAGUGAUGCACAACAACUUGCUGUCCUGUGCUAAGUGGCACUAAGUGCUGUGCUCCCCUCAGUAAAGCUGGUGCCCCAGUGCUGGCACAUCCCCAGCCCAGCCACUGCUUGCCAGGCACCUGGGUUAGGGUCAGGGCUUGCGCAUCUGCAUGCAGACACAAGGCAGAAGAGGAGUGCAAGUCCAGGGAAUGGAGCUGGGAUUGUUCAACAGGAGGGAAAUGGGCACCUGAUGGUCAGUCUCCUAGGGUGAAAGUGGUAAUGCACUGUGAAAAGUACAUUUAAGGCAAAACGAUGGGUCUAGGUGCAACAAAAUGAAAGCUGAAGGAUAAAAGAUAUCAUGAGAUGCUGGCAGAGUGAUGUGAGUAUGGGCUAAGAUGGUGUGCAGGAGGUAGUACAGUUGGAGUGUGUGAUGGCAUGGCACAUCGUGUCUGGGGAGAGUUACAAGGAAAUAGCAGCAGGGGACCUGUAGGGUCUCAUCAAAAUGCUAAUAGAUGCCGUUAUUUAGAGGACUACAGUACAGACUAUAGCAAAAUGCAAAACCUGGGCUCCUGAGUGUGCAGCUGAGGGAGUCCCUUGGGUGAGCUGACCCCAGAUCUCAGGAAAAGAGAGUAAUGAAAAAGUGUCUCAUUAGCGCUGCAUGUCUUUAAUGGUCUAUGUAUUUGAGUUGCAUAAUCCUAGAUCAGAGAACGAUUGUUAACAAUUCUCUCCAAAGCUAUUGGCUUGGGAGGGAGAAGUAUUAUUCUGGUGGAGGGGGGAGCUGCAGUGUCUAAGAAGCAGGGAAAAAGGCUACAGAAGAUUCUCAGAGGAAAGAGAACAGAUCAAAAGGAAGCGUUUCACUGUCUGAAGGACCUUGACAUGAGGACUACACUGUUGCCAGUUCUGAGGUCCACAUUAAUCUCUCUACUUUUUGGCACUGUGAGUGCUCAUCACAUGCAUAAUUUUAGCAAGAAGAUAUUUUGACUCAUGAUUAAGAACACAGUGC